GACGAACGCUGGCGGCGUGCUUAACACAUGCAAGUCGAACGGAAAGGCCCCUUUGGGGGUACUCGAGUGGCGAACGGGUGAGUAACACGUGAGUAACCUGCCCUUGACUUCGGGAUAACUUCAGGAAACUGGGGCUAAUACCGGAUAGGAAUCCUUGCUGCAUGGGGGGGGUUGGAAAGCUUCGGCGGUUUUGGGUGGACUCGCGGCUUAUCAGCUUGCUGGUGGGGUAGUGGCUUACCAAGGCUUUUACGGGUAGCCGGCCUGCGAGGGCGACCGGCCACACUGGGACUGAGAGGAGGCCCAGACUCCGACGGGAGGCAGCAGUGGGGAAUAUUGCACGAUGGGCGGAAGCCUGAUGCAGCAACGCCGCGUGCGGGAUGACGGCCUUCGGGUUGUAAACCGCUUUCAGCAGGAGCGAAGCUUGUGGUGACGGUACCUGCAGAAGAAGCACCGGCUAACUACGUG
rnacentral:rRNA from 1 species